GUCUGGCUUCAGCCUUGUCAUGAACCACCCAGCCUGUGUCAAUGAGAUUGCUCUGAGCCUCAACAACAAGAACCCCAGAACCAAGGCUCUGGUGCUGGAGCUGCUGGCGGCCGUGUGCUUGGUGCGGGGAGGACAUGACAUCAUCCUUGCAGCCUUUGACAACUUCAAGGAGGUGUGUGGGGAGCAGCACCGCUUUGAAAAGCUGAUGGAAUAUUUCCGGAAUGAGGACAGCAACAUCGACUUCAUGGUGAGCUCAGGAGCCCAGCAGCCUGAGGCCUGGGCCAGGCCCUCUUGGGUGCAGGGAGCAGCUAGGGUCCUGGGUGCUGGGCAAUGGGCUCUGCCCCCGCAAAGCGUAAGGACUGAGUGGUCAGUAGGGGAAGGGUGGAGGUUGGCAGGGGGCUGGAUUGAGGGAACAUGGAGGUGAAAUGUUAGGCAGGCCAAGGCUGGGAGUUAGUGGAGUGAGAACUGUGGAGAAGGAGGGAGGCUUGGGGUAAGUGGAGGUGGAAGGCAUUGAGCAACCCCACCUAGAGGAUCAUAGAUCUCCCCAUGUCCCUGGCUCCCAGGUGGCCUGCAUGCAGUUCAUCAACAUUGUGGUACAUUCGGUGGAGAACAUGAACUUCCGUGUCUUCCUGCAAUAUGAGUUCACCCACUUGGGCCUGGACCUGUACUUGGAGGUAAGCCCUGUACUGCCCCCCAGACUGAACUGCCUGCCCACGGCAGAGUAUGGCUGAGUGGUUAGCAGCAUGAGUGCUGGGGUCAGGCAGACCUGGGUUUAAAUCCUGGCUCUGCCAUUUCCUGCCAUGUGACCUUGGAUAGGCCUCUUCCUCUCUCUCAGUGUCAGUUUUGCCAUCUGUCAAAUAGGAGAAUCAUAGAAGAUAAUCUUGACUCUAAAUGCAUAGACCAGUGCCUGGCACAUACCAGGCCCCCAGUCUAUGGAACUGUUUUUGCAGGCACCAGAACAGGUCAAGGUGGCCCAGAGUCUGGCUCUGGGAGCACCAGCCUCAGACAGGUGCUCUGACUCCAGCAUAUAACGGGGAACCCAGAGAUACAGGGUAGAAGCAGGAGUUGGCUCAUGCUGGAUGGGCCCAGGACAUGGAGGAGUUCCCUGCCCUGGGGAAGGUGGGCAGAGCUGCUUGGUGCUUCCUGGCCCAGGCUGAGCAGAGAAGCUGCAGCUCCUUCUCUGCUUCCUUUGGGAGGUUUCCUGGAGGAGCGGGGCUUUCGGGGUUGGAUUUUUGAAAGCCAGGAUUAACAAAAGGUAGAGAGCAGGCUGGCGGGGGGGUCUAUCUGUGCAAUGGAAUAUUAUUCAGCCACAAGAAGGAAUGAAGUAUUGACACAUGGUACAACAUGGGUGAGCCUUGAAAACAUGCUAAGUGAAAGAAGCCAGACACAAAAGGUCACGUACUCUAUGAUUGCUUUUUUUUUUUUUUUUUUUUGAGAUGGAGUCUUGCUCUGUUGCCCAGGCUAGAGUGCAGUGACACGAUCUUGGCUCACUGCAACCUCUGCCUCCCGGGUUCAAGUGAUUUUCCAGCUUCCCCAGUAGUUGGGAUUAUAGGCGCCCACCACCACACUCGGUUAAUUUUUGUAUUUUUGGUAGAGACGGGGGUUUCACCACGUUGGCCAGGUUGGUCUUGAACUCCUGACCUUAGGUGAUCCGUCUGCCUCAGCCUCCCACAGUGCUGGGAUUACAGGCAUGAGCCACCUCACCCAGCUAUCUAUGAUUGCUUUAUAUGAAAUGUCCAGAAUGGGUAAAUCCAUAAAGAUGGAAAGUAGAUUAGUGGUUGCCAGGGACUGGGGGAGGAGAGAAUGGCAAGUGACUGCUGACGCCUAUGGGGUUUCUUUUUGGGCUGAUGACAAUGUUCUGGAAUUAGAUAAUGGUGAUGGUUGCACAACCUUGUGGCUAUACUAAGAAUGACUGAAUUGUACACUUUAAAUGGAUUUUAUGAUUUGUGAAUUGUAUCUUAAAAAAUAAAGAAAAAGUAGGCUAGGGCUCAGGCCCCUUCCUCUGGAUGGCAGUGGUGGCAGGGGGGUGGUUUGGAAAGACUCCCCCCCCAACACACACCAGGCCUCACCCCACUCCUUCCAUCUGGGGGACAGAGGCUUCGGCUCACCGAGAGUGACAAGCUGCAGGUGCAGAUCCAGGCGUACCUGGACAAUAUUUUUGAUGUGGGGGCGCUGCUGGAGGACACAGAGACCAAGAACGCUGUGCUGGAGCACAUGGAGGAACUGCAGGAGCAAGUGGCGCUGGUGAGAGUGGGUCCUGACCCCAGCCCAGCACAUCAUAGGCCCACAGGGCACACGGGCCACAGGGCCACGCAAGCAUGGGCACUGGGCAGCAGACAGUGUUAUAGUUGUGCAUUGGAGGUGCUGCCUGCCUGGCCCCAGAGCCUGGCCUGAAUCCAAAGCCUGAAUCUGUUAGGUGUCUUUCUCAAUGAGUGUGGGUGAGCACCCUCACUGACAGGCCCCUCCUCUACCCAGGCUCAGACCCCAGGUGAACUGAAAUGGGUGCCUGGGGCCCCUCCCAGCUCAGUCUCCUCCUCUCCCUCCACCUCCCGCAUCACUGGUACCUUGGUUUCCUCUCCUUAUUUGCUUGGGUUCGAGUGCCAGGCUCGGCCCACCCUUGGCACCUGGGCUGAGCGGAUCUGGAAGCCUCCCCCAGUCUUCCAGGCAGGCAUGCCUGAUGCCGCCCCCUCACCGGCGGUGCCAGUGCCGGGCUGCGGGUCGGGGCUCACCAUGUGCUGGUGCUACAGCUGACAGAGCGGCUUCGGGACGCGGAGAACGAAUCCAUGGCCAAGAUUGCAGAACUGGAAAAACAGCUAAGCCAGGCGCGCAAGGAGUUGGAGACCCUGCGGGUGAGGCUGGGGCGGGUGGUAGGCCAGGCGCCCAAGAACAGGCCAGCUGAGGCUUCUAGGCUUGACAUCUCCCUCCACCCCGGGAAGAGGAUGGGGGCUUGGUGCCAAGGAGCCUGCUGGUGGGCACUGACCCCUCCCGUGGGGUUCGUAGGAGCGCUUCAGCGAAUCGACCGCCAUGGGCGCCUCCAGGCGUCCCCCAGAGCCUGAGAAAGCGCCUCCCGCUGCCCCGACGCGGCCCUCGGCCCUGGAGCUGAAGGUGGAGGAGCUGGAGGAGAAGGGGUUAAUCCGUAUCCUGCGGGGGCCGGGGGAUGCUGUCUCCAUCGAGAUCCUCCCCGUCGCUGUGGCAACUCCGAGCGGCGGUUAUGCUCCGACUCCGGGGGUGCCGACCGGCUCCCCCAGCCCAGGUGCGCAGGAGCUUCAGGCUGGCGGGGAUGCGGGGUAGGGUCUGGAGGGGAGCCCAGGGGCAUCUGUGGCGGGCAGAGUUGGGCGAAGGAGGUUUGGAUUGUAGGCUCGGCUCAGGUAGGAGCGCAUGCGUAGAGCGGAGAGGCGGAGAGGGGCCCACCCAAGCCAAGGAGCUGACUCGCGCCUCCCCCACGCCGCGCCCUCGCUGGCUCAGAUCUCGCACCUGCAGCAGAGCCGGCUCCCGGAGCAGCGCCG
rnacentral:lncRNA from 1 species